UACGUAGGUGGCGAGCGUUGUCCGGAUUUAUUGGGCGUAAAGCGCGCGCAGGCGGUGCGGUAAGUCUGUCGUGAAAUCUCCCGGCUCAGCUGGGAGGGUGCGGUGGAGACUGCCGGACUGGAGGCACUCAGAGGCCGGUGGAAUUCCCGGUGUAGUGGUGAAAUGCGUAGAGAUCGGGAGGAACACCUGCGGCGAAGGCGGGUUGCUGGGCUGACACUGACGCUGAUGCGCGAAAGCUAGGGGAGCGAACGGG
rnacentral:rRNA from 1 species